rnacentral:rRNA from 1 species
UAGUGAUUAGUUUGAUCCUGGCUCAGGACGAACGCUGGCGGCGUGCUUAACACAUGCAAGUCGAGCGAGAGCCUGGGGGCUUGCCCCCAGGGGACAGCGGCGAACGGGUGCGUAACACGUGGGCAACCUGCCCCUCUCUCUGGGAUAACCCCGGGAAACCGGAGCUAAUACCGGAUACUCCGAUCGGAUCACAUGGCUCGAUCGGGAAAGGUCCGCCGGAGAGGGAUGGGCCCGCGGCCUAUCAGCUUGUUGGUGUGGUAACGGCUCACCAAGGCUACGACGGGUAGCUGGUCUGAGAGGACGACCAGCCACACUGGAACUGAGAUACGGUCCAGACUCCUACGGGAGGCAGCAGUGGGGAAUAUUGCGCAAUGGGCGAAAGCCUGACGCAGCGACGCCGCGUGGGGGAUGAAUGCCUUCGGGUUGUAAACCCCUUUCGGCAGGGACGAAGCGAACGUGACGAUACCUGCAGAAGAAGUCCCGGCUAACUACGUGCCAGCAGCCGCGGUAAGACGUAGGGGACGAGCGUUGUCCGGAUUCAUUGGGCGUAAAGCGCGCGUAGGCGGUUGCGCAAGUCGGUUGUGAAAAUCCGGGGCUCAACCCCGGACCUGCAUCCGAUACUGCGUGACUAGAGGUAGGUAGGGGAGAUCGGAAUUCCUGGUGUAGCGGUGAAACGCGAAUCGA